rnacentral:rRNA from 1 species
GGUUAAGCGACUAAGCGUACACGGUGGAUGCCCUGGCAGUCAGAGGCGAUGAAGGACGUGCUAAUCUGCGAAAAGCGUCGGUAAGGUGAUAUGAACCGUUAUAACCGGCGAUGUCCGAAUGGGGAAACCCAGUGCAAUUCGUUGCACUAUCGUUAACUGAAUACAUAGGUUAACGAGGCGAACCGGGGGAACUGAAACAUCUAAGUACCCCGAGGAAAAGAAAUCAACCGAGAUUCCCCCAGUAGCGGCGAGCGAACGGGGAGCAGCCCAGAGUCUGAAUCAGCUUGUGUGUUAGUGGAACGGUCUGGAAAGUCCGACGGUACAGGGUGAUAGUCCCGUACACCAAAAUGCACAGGUUGUGAACUCGAAGAGUAGGGCGGGACACGUGGUAUCCUGUCUGAAUAUGGGGGGACCAUCCUCCAAGGCUAAAUACUCCUGACUGACCGAUAGUGAACCAGUACCGUGAGGGAAAGGCGAAAAGAACCCCGGCGAGGGGAGUGAAAAAGAACCUGAAACCGUGUACGUACAAGCAGUGGGAGCACCUUCGGGUGUGACUGCGUACCUUUUGUAUAAUGGGUCAGCGACUUAUAUUCUGUAGCAAGGUUAACCGUAUAGGGGAGCCGCAGGGAAACCGAGUCUUAACUGGGCGUUAAGUUGCAGGGUAUAGACCCGAAACCCGGUGAUCUAGCCAUGGGCAGGUUGAAGGUUGGGUAACACUAACUGGAGGACCGAACCGACUAAUGUUGAAAAAUUAGCGGAUGACUUGUGGCUGGGGGUGAAAGGCCAAUCAAACCGGGAGAUAGCUGGUUCUCCCCGAAAGCUAUUUAGGUAGCGCCUCGUGAACUCAUCUUCGGGGGUAGAGCACUGUUUCGGCUAGGGGGUCAUCCCGACUUACCAACCCGAUGCAAACUACGAAUACCGAAGAAUGUUAUCACGGGAGACACACGGCGGGUGCUAACGUCCGUCGUGAAGAGGGAAACAACCCAGACCGCCAGCUAAGGUCCCAAAGUCAUGGUUAAGUGGGAAACGAUGUGGGAAGGCACAGACAGCCAGGAUGUUGGCUUAGAAGCAGCCAUCAUUUAAAGAAAGCGUAAUAGCUCACUGGUCGAGUCGGCCUGCGCGGAAGAUGUAACGGGGCUAAACCAUGCACCGAAGCUGCGGCAGCGACACUAUGUGUUGUUGGGUAGGGGAGCGUUCUGUAAGCCUGCGAAGGUGACCUGUGAGGGUUGCUGGAGGUAUCAGAAGUGCGAAUGCUGACAUAAGUAACGAUAAAGCGGGUGAAAAGCCCGCUCGCCGGAAGACCAAGGGUUCCUGUCCAACGUUAAUCGGGGCAGGGUGAGUCGACCCCUAAGGCGAGGCCGAAAGGCGUAGUCGAUGGGAAACAGGUUAAUAUUCCUGUACUUGGUGUUACUGCGAAGGGGGACGGAGAAGGCUAUGUUAGCCGGGCGACGGUUGUCCCGGUUUAAGCAUGUAGGCUGGUUAUCCAGGCAAAUCCGGAUAAUCAAGGCUGAGGUGUGAUGACGAGGCACUACGGUGCUGAAGUAACAAAUGCCCUGCUUCCAGGAAAAGCCUCUAAGCAUCAGGUAACAUCAAAUCGUACCCCAAACCGACACAGGUGGUCAGGUAGAGAAUACCAAGGCGCUUGAGAGAACUCGGGUGAAGGAACUAGGCAAAAUGGUGCCGUAACUUCGGGAGAAGGCACGCUGGUGUGUAGGUGAAGUCCCUGCGGAUGGAGCUGAGACCAGUCGAAGAUACCAGCUGGCUGCAACUGUUUAUUAAAAACACAGCACUGUGCAAACACGAAAGUGGACGUAUACGGUGUGACGCCUGCCCGGUGCCGGAAGGUUAAUUGAUGGGGUUAUCCGUAAGGAGAAGCUCUUGAUCGAAGCCCCGGUAAACGGCGGCCGUAACUAUAACGGUCCUAAGGUAGCGAAAUUCCUUGUCGGGUAAGUUCCGACCUGCACGAAUGGCGUAAUGAUGGCCAGGCUGUCUCCACCCGAGACUCAGUGAAAUUGAACUCGCUGUGAAGAUGCAGUGUACCCGCGGCAAGACGGAAAGACCCCGUGAACCUUUACUAUAGCUUGACACUGAACAUUGAGCCUUGAUGUGUAGGAUAGGUGGGAGGCUUUGAAGCGUGGACGCCAGUCUGCGUGGAGCCAACCUUGAAAUACCACCCUUUAAUGUUUGAUGUUCUAACGUUGGCCCCUGACCGGGGUUGCGGACAGUGUCUGGUGGGUAGUUUGACUGGGGCGGUCUCCUCCCAAAGCGUAACGGAGGAGCACGAAGGUUAGCUAAUCCUGGUCGGACAUCAGGAGGUUAGUGCAAUGGCAUAAGCUAGCUUGACUGCGAGCGUGACGGCGCGAGCAGGUGCGAAAGCAGGUCAUAGUGAUCCGGUGGUUCUGAAUGGAAGGGCCAUCGCUCAACGGAUAAAAGGUACUCCGGGGAUAACAGGCUGAUACCGCCCAAGAGUUCAUAUCGACGGCGGUGUUUGGCACCUCGAUGUCGGCUCAUCACAUCCUGGGGCUGAAGUAGGUCCCAAGGGUAUGGCUGUUCGCCAUUUAAAGUGGUACGCGAGCUGGGUUUAGAACGUCGUGAGACAGUUCGGUCCCUAUCUGCCGUGGGCGCUGGAGAAUUGAGGGGGGCUGCUCCUAGUACGAGAGGACCGGAGUGGACGCAUCACUGGUGUUCGGGUUGUCAUGCCAAUGGCACUGCCCGGUAGCUAAAUGCGGAAGAGAUAAGUGCUGAAAGCAUCUAAGCACGAAACUUGCCCCGAGAUGAGUUCUCCCUGAGACUUUAAGUCUCCUGAAGGAACGUUGAAGACGACGACGUUGAUAGGCCGGGUGUGUAAGCGCAGCGAUGCGUUGAGCUAACCGGUACUAAUGAACCGUGAGGCUUAACCUU